UAGCUCAGUUGGUAGAGCAUGGUGUUUGCAUGGUGUUUGCAACACCAGGGUUGUGGGUUCGAUUCCCAC
rfam:Salmo salar isolate Sally breed double haploid chromosome ssa01, whole genome shotgun sequence.